AUCAUGGAUUUUUUAAAAUCCAUUUUAUUUCAAAGAGAAAAAAUUU
rfam:Cavia porcellus supercont2_4 genomic scaffold, whole genome shotgun sequence.